GCAGCAGUGGGGAAUUUUGGACAAUGGGCGCAAGCCUGAUCCAGCAAUGCCGCGUGCGUGAAGAAGGCCUUCGGGUUGUAAAGCACUUUUGUCCGGAAAGAAAUGGUUUUGUUUAAUACGAGGGGUAGAUGACGGUACCGGAAGAAUAAGCACCGGCUAACUACGUGCCAGCAGCCGCGGUAAUACGUAGGGUGCGAGCGUUAAUCGGAAUUACUGGGCGUAAAGCGUGCGCAGGCGGUUAUGCAAGACAGAUGUGAAAUCCCCGGGCUCAACCUGGGAAUUGCAUUGGUGACUGCAUGGCUAGAGUGCGUCAGAGGGGGGUAGAAUUCCGCGUGUAGCAGUGAAAUGCGUAGAUAUGGGGAGGAACACCGAUGGCGAAGGCAACCCCCUGGGCUAACACUGACGCUCAUGCACGAAAGCGUGGGGAGCAAACAGGAUUAGAUACCCUGGUAGUCCACGCCCUAAACGAUGUCAACUAGUUGGUGGGGAAUCAUUUCCUCAGUAACGAAGCUAACGCGUGAA
rnacentral:rRNA from 1 species